ACCGGAUAGGACGAAAGUUUAAAGGUGCUUCGGCACCACUGAUGGAUGAGCCUGCGGCGCAUUAGCUAGUUGGUAGGGUAAAGGCCUACCAAGGCGACGAUGCGUAGCCGACCUGAGAGGGUGAACGGCCACACUGGGACUGAGACACGGCCCAGACUCCUACGGGAGGCAGCAGUAGGGAAUCUUCGGCAAUGGGCGAAAGCCUGACCGAGCAACGCCGCGUGAAUGAUGAAGGCCUUCGGGUUGUAAAAUUCUGUUAUAAGGGAAGAAUGGCUCUAGUAGGAAAUGGCUAGAGUGUGACGGUACCUUAUGAGAAAGCCACGGCUAACUACGUGCCAGCAGCCGCGGUAAUACGUAGGUGGCGAGCGUUAUCCGGAAUUAUUGGGCGUAAAGAGCGCGCAGGUGGUUGAUUAAGUCUGAUGUGAAAGCCCACGGCUUAACCGUGGAGGGUCAUUGGAAACUGGUCAACUUGAGUGCAGAAGAGGGAAGUGGAAUUCCAUGUGUAGCGGUGAAAUGCGUAGAGAUAUGGAGGAA
rnacentral:rRNA from 1 species